CUAAACUGGAACAUUUGAAGUGUCUGAUUUUUCCCUUUAAGCAAAAAGAGGAGGAGAGAUCAAAGAACUCAGUCCAUCACCUUCAGUGUACAAGCACUUUUACGUUCAAGAACAAUUUGGAGCAAGAGUUGCCCCCCUGUUCAAUGGACAGGACAUGAAUAUUAGCAGUUCUUUGGAUGUGAUAGAGGGUCUUGUUGAAGAACAGUUGGCAAUAGCAGAACCAUGGAGUACAGAUAUGGCCCAUCAUUGUCCAAGCAUUAUUUUCCAUCACCAGCUCUCUCACCACCCCUUUGGUAGUCAUGUUCCCAAGACUGACUGCAACUUCUCUGUGAUGAUUUGUUAAGAAGAGAAGCACAUUAGAAGCAGAGUGAGAGAUGCAGGCUGAAGCUGUUAUAAAUUUGGACACCUUACGCAACAUGCAGCACUAAGGAAGAGGUAUCCAGGAUUGUAUUUCACAGUCCUUUCAUGCAUUUCAGGCUGUAUUUGCACAAUGCUGGAAAUAUAUUUAUAAUGUGAACUGAGGAAGCUCAGUGGGUGUCAGACUGGCAACAUAUAACUUUUAGAGAUGAGAAGGGGAGAAUAAAGGAUUGUACACCUCUAAUAUCA
ensembl:lncRNA